CGAAAGCCUGACGGAGCAAGACCGCGUGAGGGAGGAAGGCUCUUGGGUUGUAAACCUCUUUUCUCAGGGAAGAAGCUCUGACGGUACCUAAGGAAUAAGCCUCGGCUAACUCCGUGCCAGCAGCCGCGGUAAUACGGAGGAGGCAAGCGUUAUCCGGAAUUAUUGGGCGUAAAGAGUCCGUAGGUGGUUCAUCAAGUCUGCUGUUAAAGCGUGCAGCUCAACUGCAUAUAGGCAGUGGAAACUGUUGAACUAGAGUAUGGUAGGGGUAGGGGGAAUUCCCAGUGUAGCGGUGAAAUGCGUAGAUUUCGGGAAGAACAUCGGUGGCGAAAGCGCUCUGCUGGGCCGCAACUGACACUCAGGGACGAAAGCUAGGGGAGCG
rnacentral:rRNA from 1 species